GUGAGUAGUUCAGAGUUUGAUCCUGGCUCAGGAUGAACGCUAGCUACAGGCUUAACACAUGCAAGUCGAGGGGCAGCAUGUUGGUUGCUUGCAACCAAUGAUGGCGACCGGCGCACGGGUGAGUAACGCGUAUCCAACCUUCCCCUUACUCGGGUCCAGCCCGUUGAAAGACGGAUUAAUCCCCGAUGCUCUCAUAUGCUGGCAUCAGUUUAUGAGCAAAGAUUUAUCGGUAAGGGAUGGGGAUGCGUAUGAUUAGCUUGUUGGUGUGGUAACGGCUCACCAAGGCUACGAUCAUUAGGGGUUCUGAGAGGAAGGUCCCCCACACUGGAACUGAGACACGGUCCAG
rnacentral:rRNA from 1 species